GUCAUAGAGGGUGUUGUUGAUAGAACACCAAUGCAUGUGAGGGCAGAGAUCCAAGAUUAAAGGCGAGGCGCAGGAGACAGUACUGGUAUGUGCCCACCCUUUGUGGACAUGGGAUGCUUUCGGCCAUGUGAUCCACUACUGGGUUUAAAAGCUUAUGGCCCACAGAGAAGGGCACAGUAUACCAUUUUCCAUUGAACACAGUGUGAAGCGCGCAUCGCAGUAUCUAGGUGCUGCAACCUAAACAUGUCGGACACAGAAGAAGCCACGUACGAG